UGAAGCCAGCGGGAGAUUUUGUUGUCACACGUAUCUGUCACACUGUCAGUAACCUCCGUGUCAUGUGAGCGCAGUUUUCCCUGCAUGCGGCAUGUAAAAACCUACCUGAGAAACAGAAUGGCAGACCCUUCACUCAGCAACCUUGCCUGCCUGUCCAUACACGCAGAAAGAACAAAGGCCAUGGAUGUCCAGAAAAUUAUAGGCUCGUUUGCACUGAACCACAACAACAGACGCAUCAUCCUUCUAUAAAACAACACUUGAGCCGCGCCUGUCCGGUGGCGGGAUCAUGAUUCAAUCACGCUGAUCUGGAUCUGGAUGGAACAAGAAGACGCAUGCGUUUUGUCGGCCUUCAUGUAUUUUUGUAAUAUAAAUAGAAUCACUAAGAUUGUGAUAGCCAGUUCGUUUUACAAGUGUGUGCACAGUUAAUAGGCGUAGGCUAAAUGCAUUGCACUUCUCGUUGUGGCUGCGCUUUGGAUAUUAUUAAUUUCAUUUUGGACGUUGUGAUAGCCAUUUCAUCCGAAACAUUAUUACCAAUGCACAGUUGUCUGAUUAUGCAUAUGGAAUAAAUGCACUUCUUGUUGUUGUCGCAUUUUGGAUGUAUUGUGUUGUUAUUGCUGAAAGACUUCAGUGCAUGGGCGCUGUCAGAUGCUGAUGUAUAUCACCUUUACACGUAUUAGGUUUAUAGCUAUUUUGUUGAAUAUUCUUUGGCCAAAUUCAAUUAAAAACUACAUUUAUAUCGAAUGUGCUGUGUGCCAUUUCUGCUUUUAUUGAAAAAACGACAACUUCCUUAUAACUCUGAAGUCAUGAACUAUUUUCUUAGCACCCCCAAUUAUUGGUUAUGUGCACUGUUCCUGUAAAACUAAAUGUAAUAAAGCUUUUUUUAAAUAA